rnacentral:lncRNA from 1 species
CUUUAGUCCCUAGAAAUGCGUGUCGAAGGGCACCCAAUUCCACAGAGGCUAAGUGGGCAGAGCACUUUUUGGCUGUUGCAUUUGUGACAUCAUGGUUACUGAGCAAAAGCUGACCAUGGCCUUUUUCUGCUCACCUAGCUUCCUACAGAUUGCCCUCUGCCCUGGCGGCUGCCCCUCACCACCAUGAGAAGACCCUGGGGCCCUUGCCCAGGCUGCCCACGACCUGGGUCUCUCUCCCCUCACCCCACCACUCUUUCCCAGGGUUUUCCAGGUCCUGCUAGGGGACAUGAGAGUGCCUGGCCUUGACCCUAGGUGGCCUUCCCUGACUGUCUCAAGUCUCACUGACCUUCUAUCCCUUUGAAUAACACUCUCCAGACAGCUGUUUUACAAGGUGCGCUCUGCGGAUCACCUACAUCAGACUCUUUUGAAGAAUUUGUUGGAAAAGUGGAUUCCUGAGCUCCUCUCCUGUUCUGAAUUAGAAUCCUUGGGAAGGGUCAAGGAAUCUACAAUUGCAAUAAUUUCUACAUGGGAACUUUGAUACACUGGCUUGUCUGUCUAUACCACAUAGUUUGACAAGCAGUCGUCUGCCAUCCCUCAUCAUCUGUGCCAGUAGGCAGGAUUGAGAACAUCACAGCACCUGUUGCAGUGUUUCGUGCACAGCAGGGCUCAAUAAGUGAUUGUUGCUCGCUAGCUAGCUAUAUAUGUUGGUCACAGUUCUUCUGGUAUCUUGUGGAACUGAAGUGUGAGAUGUAGAGAAAGUUCUCACGAGAGACCAGGGCCUGGAUCUACAAAGCUGCUGGGAGCAAAGGUAGGAGAAACGUUACACUUGGACUCUGUAACUCAACAGGACGGGGUUCAAGUCUGCCUCUUACCUGCUGUGCGUGUCUUGGCAAAUUACUUAACUUCUCUAAGCCCGAUUCUCCCCAUUUAUAAAAAAAGGAUCUUAACAGUACCUACCUCUCAGGAGGGCAGUGAGGGCUGGUUUAGAUGAUAUAUGAAGCAAAAGCAUCUGCGAGCUGGGCUAUGAGCUCCUGGUCUCAGCUCCUCUGUGCACCUCUGCCUCCUCCUUCUGUCUCGCAGUCUGGUUCCCACUGCACCCCCCUGCAGACAGCCCAUAGCUGGUUGCAUCUUGUCAGAGGCAAACACCCAGAGAUGGAGAUGUGUGUCUCUCAGUCCUAAGCCCAAGUCUCCAGAGAAGAGCAUCUGGAGGGCCCUCCAGGGUCCAUCCCAACCCAAAUCUUCUGUAGUCAAGAACAAGGAGCCAGUGGUGCAGACACAGAUGCAGUUCCAUCGCUUGGGCCCCACCAAGGAGAGAAGCAGUUCUCAGAGACUAGAGUGGAGGAUGGAGACAGGCUGGGCCUACACCCCCAUGCCCCACAGGUACCUACUACGACUCCCCAGAAAUAAACAUUUCCCCAGUCCUGACUCUAUGGCUGCCUUUCAUCUCCCAGAGCCUCCCCUCCACAUCUUA